rnacentral:rRNA from 1 species
GACGAACGCUGGCGGCGUGCUUAACACAUGCAAGUCGAACGGAAAGGCCCUGCUUUUGUGGGGUGCUCGAGUGGCGAACGGGUGAGUAACACGUGAGUAACCUGCCCUUGACUUUGGGAUAACUUCAGGAAACUGGGGCUAAUACCGGAUAGGAGCUCCUGCUGCAUGGUGGGGGUUGGAAAGUUUCGGCGGUUGGGGAUGGACUCGCGGCUUAUCAGCUUGUUGGUGGGGUAGUGGCUUACCAAGGCUUUGACGGGUAGCCGGCCUGAGAGGGUGACCGGGCAGAUGGGGACAAAGAUACGGCCCGGACGCCUGCGGGAGGCAGCAGUGGGGAAUGUUGCACAAUGGGCGGAAGCCUGAAGCCGCAUCGCGGCUGGCGGGAUGCGGGCCUUCGGGUUGUAAACCGCGUUCCCCCGUGACGAAGCGUGAGUGACGGCAAUGAGGAAAGAAGCACCGCCUAACUACGU